rnacentral:rRNA from 1 species
GCGAACGCUGGCGGCAGGCCUAACACAUGCAAGUCGAACGGACCCUUCGGGGUUAGUGGCGGACGGGUGAGUAACACGUGGGAACGUGCCUUUAGGUUCGGAAUAGCUCCUGGAAACGGGUGGUAAUGCCGAAUGUGCCCUUCGGGGGAAAGAUUUAUCGCCAUUGGAUGAACCCGCGUCGGAUUAGCUAGUUGGUGGGGUAAAGGCCCACCAAGGCGACGAUCCGUAGCUGGUCUGAGAGGAUGAUCAGCCACACUGGGACUGAGACACGGCCCAGACUCCUACGGGAGGCAGCAGUGGGGAAUAUUGGACAAUGGGCGCAAGCCUGAUCCAGCCAUGCCGCGUGAGUGAUGAAGGCCUUAGGGUUGUAAAGCUCUUUCGCCGACGAAGAUAAUGACGGUAGUCGGAGAAGAAGCCCCGGCUAACUUCGU